UCCUGUAUUUGGAAUUAAGAACUUAUUCUUAAAAUUUAAGAAUCUGUUCAUACUUUUUAUGAUCGAAAUUCAUAUUUUUCCAAAAUUUAAGAAUUAAUUCAUUAAAUAUUAUGAAAGUAUACAUAUAAUUUAUGAAAAAAUUCUUACGUUGUGAGUUUUUAAGUAUAUUUUCUUAAAGUCUAUGUAUUUUUUCAUCAAUCUACAAAAUAAUAACUGUUGUUCUGGAUCUAUGCCUUAGAAAGAUUUCUUUGAGGAUUUAAUUUAAAAUCUGAUAUUCAAAGUCGACGGUCGUUGCCGAAACAAGCUAUAAAAGUUUGUGAAUAAAAGACAAUAUUUAUUAUAGUGUUAACCAUUUUAACCACGUAGACAAUUUUGAAGAUUAUAAGUAUAUUUCAACAGUGUAAAAUAUUGUUGGUUGCUGUUGCCUCUUUUCCAUAUACUCAGAUAAGUAUAAAAACAUAUAAUGUUAAAAAUUGCUUUCUUUUAUUUAUUAAAUGUAUUUUAUUUCUUUUUGUUAGGUAUACAUAGGUGCAUAUUUAAAAAGUGAAAAUCGUAAUUUGAUUUGUUUCUGAAAUAUGGUGGCACGUAGGUACGUAAUCUUCAACUUUUGACCGGCAAAAGUGGAAAAAUCAACACAAAAUAAAAACCAUAUUAAAGGCAGGCGAUUCUCAACAAAUCCUGUACACUUGAAAUUGUCAUUGCAAACUAAAGCAAAACAUUGAAUUUACUCCAGAGUCUAAUGCUGCCGAUUACAAUAAGAUGAUGCAUCCAUUAAAAAAGUAAAAUUAAGUUAAAAAUUAAAUUUAUAGUGAAAUGUAUAGUGAUAGUGAUCAAUAAAACAUUUUUAUAACGUUUAAACUUAAUAAUUUAUUUUAUUUUUACAGUUUCAUUUCUUUGUUUUAGAUUUUGGGUUGUUUUCU